GGUCUUGCCCCUGCCACUGCCAUACGGGGCCCUGAUGUCAGGCCGAACCCUCCUGCUCAGGCUUAUCUCCUAGCUCUAGCCAAACAAACUCCUCUGGGGAUCCGAGCGAGUCAAUGCUUCCACAACCGUCGCCGUGCUUUUCUCCAUUUCAAUUGGUAGCGCUUUACCGUGGAGCCGCCUACUGGGAUAUAUAAAUCCCCGACCGCCCCCUUCUCCAUCCUUCCAUUGAGCCGAGCAAUUUCCGCGUCGGGAGCUCCGGCGUCGGGAGGAAGGGAGUGUGUGUCGUGCCGUUGCGCUAGGGGCCAGGCCACGAGUGCCUUCGUCAUCGGGUUCUCCGGCCACCGCUGCUUGCGAUAGAGAAGGAUUGGCGGGUGUAAUUGGUUGGAGCCGAUAGAAUUCCUCGCCGGGCAUCGACCCAUGCUGCGAAUCUGCUGUCCGCCGUGGGCACUCGUCUGUGGGUCAUCUCUCGCUCUGGUCAAGAGCAGGUACCGCUUGAUGAGGCGCAUGAAGGAUGCUGUGAUGAGAUCGUGAGUGGUCUAGGCCGUCGUCUCCCAGUUAACUUUGUGUUGCUGGAUCAUUGUAUUCGCAUGAUGUAAUUAUUUAACUAUUUUAUACAGAACUCUAUUAUAUAUAGAUGAUGUGACAUUCGUUUCUGUAC